CUUUAAUAUAAUUUAUUACAUAAGAUCAUAAGAUUUAUAUAAAUGAUGGCUGGCAGUUUGCCAGAAUGAGAUAUGUACAAUUAAAAAACAAAUUAAAGAAAAAAAUAAUAAAACCAAACACUUUCCCACAAAAUUAAUUGCAUAUAUAUUAAAGAAAAAAACAGAAACAAAUCGGACUAUGUGCAAUGGAAUGAUUAUCAGCAAUAUUGUACAGUUACAUUUCUGAGGUUGUCUCAUGAAGAAAUAAAGGACAAGAAUCACAAACAAAAAGGCAUUUUCUAUGCAAGAUCAACACAAUAUUUAAACAACAAAUUCUUAAUCUGAAAAGCACAUCUCCUAUUCUGAGUAUCGCAACCAGAUGCGAGGAAACGUCUGUUCCCGAAUGUCAUCUAAGAGUCGCUACGGAUCCUCAGUCACAGCUUGAGGAAUCACUUUCACUUUCACUAAAGAGACAGCACAAAUUGCUAGUCCGCGCUAUGCGGCGGCAGUGCUAAACAUCGUUUCGAUUUGCAGUACCAUGAAUACAGUGAGCGCGAUGUCUUAUCUACAGUGUCACAGUGUUUUAUGACGGGCCUCCCUCGAGAUGAUGUUACUUUCAUAUGUUGCGGUUCCUAACUCUGACAGUAUGCCGUUCACUAGCACACAUACAGCGGAGAAAUACCAUGUCAAGUGUUGCAGUCACUGGCCUCAAGAGAGGAAUCUCUGCGAGGUAUUUUUUUCACGUAGAUCCACUAGUAUAAUACAUUGGUUAACGCACCACACCAUGCUAGUUAAGUAGGGUGUUUGGUUUUGUGUAGUUUUUGGA